UACGGAGGGGGCUAGCGUUGUUCGGAAUUACUGGGCGUAAAGCGCACGUAGGCGGCUUUGUAGGUUAGAGGUGAAAGCCCGGGGCUCAACUCCGGAAUUGCCUUUAAGACUGCAUCGCUAGAAUUGUGGAGAGGUAAGUGGAAUUCCGAGUGUAGAGGUGAAAUUCGUAGAUAUUCGGAAGAACACCAGUGGCGAAGGCGACUUACUGGACACAUAUUGACGCUGAGGUGCGAAAGCGUGGGGAGCAAACAGGG
rnacentral:rRNA from 1 species